GGAUCAAUAACUCCUGGAUGGA
rnacentral:misc_RNA from 1 species